AACAUUUCUUUUAGAUUAUUUAAAAAGUAAAGCCUGCCCACUGUUUAAAUGAAGGGCCGCGGUAUUUUGACCGUGCAAAGGUAGCAUAAUCAUUAGCCUUUUAAUUGGAGGAUGGAAUGAAUGGCUUAAUGAUUUUUUUCUAUUAUUUUUAUUUAAAAAUAAUUUUGAUUUUAAAUGAAAAUAUUUAAUUAAUUUAGUUAGACGAUAAGACCCUAUAGAAUUUUAUUCUUUUAUUAUUAAAUAAUAUUAAAAGGGUUUAAAUGGGGCAUUUUUUGAUUAAUUAAAAUUUCUAAUUAAUUAUUUAGAAAUAUCUUUAUUUAAAUAUUUUAAAAAAAUUACCUUAGGGAUAACAGCGUAAUAAUUUUUGAGAGUUCAUAUCGACAAAGUAGUUUGCGACCUCGAUGUUGAAUUAAAAUACUUUUAUGGAGCAGUUUUUUUAAUAAGUAGUCUGUUCGACUAUUAAAAUUUUACAUGAUU
rnacentral:rRNA from 1 species